GUGUCAGCAGCCGCGGUAAUACGUAGGGUGCAGGCGUUAAUCGGAAUUACUGGGCGUAAAGCGUGCGCAGGCGGCUUCCUAAGUCAGAUGUGAAAUCCCCGGGCUCAACCUGGGAACUGCGUUUGAAACUGGGAGGCUAGAGUGCGGCAGAGGGGGGUGGAAUUCCACGUGUAGCAGUGAAAUGCGUAGAUAUGUGGAGGAACACCGAUGGCGAAGGCAGCCCCCUGGGCCAGCACUGACGCUCAUGCACGAAAGCGUGGGGAGCAAACAGGAUUAGAAACCCCCGUAGUCC
rnacentral:rRNA from 1 species